rnacentral:rRNA from 1 species
AUGCGUGAGACAGGUUGGUCUCUAUCUGUUGCAGGCGUUGAAUAUUUGAGGGAAGUCGAUCCUAGUA